UUUGAUUUGUCGUCUCAUGUAGUCAUCUGCAAGGCAUGCAUUACCGAACAAUUAGGCUGUUGGAAGCAGGGAUACAGCCAGUCUACGUAUUUGAUGGUAAACCUCCUGAUUUGAAGAAGCAAGAGCUCGCACAACGGUACUUUAUUAUUAUGUAGCCUUCUCUUCUCUCGUUUUUUUUUAAUUGUCUAUGAAUACGUUUAGUUACCUUAAAUGUGAAGGUUUGUCUUUGUUUUGAUCACUUCCUUACUGUGCGAUAUUUUAGUUCUAUUCGAUGAGAAGUUUGAUGUUGUCUCUGUUUUCCAGAAAAACCUAUCUAUGUAGCUAACCAGAUAUGUGUGCGCAUGUGGUACAUGGCUUUGAUACCAUUGCAGGUGACACAACAGCACAAUGAAGACUGCAAAAAACUAUUGAGACUUAUGGGUAUCCCAGUAGUUGAGGCCCCUUCAGAAGCAGAGGCACAAUGUGCUGCUCUUUGAAAAGCUGGAAAGGCAUGUAUCUUCCUGGUUGAUCGUCUUCUGAUUUAGAAUAAUUCAUUGUUAUCUCAUGAUAAUCCAAUCAUCUAACUCUAUGGAAAUGACAUUUUUUUUUUGCAUGAUUUCAUGUAGCUACGGAAAGUUUGGAUGUGCCUCCUGAUUACAAAAUGGGAAAUUUAUGGCUUACAAGAACUUUGUAUACCUUAUCAAAUGCCCUUUUGUGAAGGCGUGCACUAGAAGAAAGAAUGGAUAAAAGCAUCUUGA